AUUGAACGCUGGCGGCAUGCCUUACACAUGCAAGUCGAACGGCAGCACGGGAGCAAUCCUGGUGGCGAGUGGCGAACGGGUGAGUAAAGUAUCGGAACGUGCCCAGUCGUGGGGGAUAACGUAGCGAAAGUUACGCUAAUACCGCAUACGAUCUAUGGAUGAAAGCGGGGGAUCGCAAGACCUCGCGCGAUUGGAGCGGCCGAUAUCAGGUUAGGUAGUUGGUGGGGUAAAGGCUCACCAAGCCGACGAUCUGUAGCUGGUCUGAGAGGACGACCAGCCACAAUGGGACUGAGACAAGGCCCAGACUCCUACGGGAGGCAGCAGUGGGGAAUUUUGGACAAUGGGCGAAAGCCUGAUCCAGCCAUGCCGCGUGCAGGAUGGAGGCCUUCGGGUUGUAAACUGCUUUUGUACGGAACGAAAAGGUUUGGCCUAAUAAGCUGAGCUCAUGACGGUACCGUAAGAAUAAGCACCGGCUAACUACGUGCCAGCCGCCGCGGUAA
rnacentral:rRNA from 1 species